rnacentral:lncRNA from 1 species
UGGGACUUGGACUGGGUUAACAGGUCUUUCAUCUUUAUAUAGUGCUCUAUUUUCUCACUUUUAUCCAAUGUGAGACUUGGACUCGCACUUGCAUUCCCAACAAUCUCCCCCUCAAGGGUGAGUCCCUUCCACAUUGGUACACUCCCCCUUCAACGGAAGCAUUCCCAUCCAACCACAACCACGAGUAGCCCUUUGUACCGCCGUUCAUCUUAACGGGACACGCUUACCUAGAACCCUUUGUCAGGAAUACUUUCGAUACAGGAAUCAUUAUACUCGUCUG